AACGAACGCUGGCGGCAUGCCUAACACAUGCAAGUCGAACGAGACCUUCGGGUCUAGUGGCGCACGGGUGCGUAACGCGUGGGAACCUGCACUUAGGUUCGGAAUAACUCCCCGAAAGGGGUGCUAAUACCGGAUAAUGUCUUCGGACCAAAGAUUUAUCGCCUUUGGAUGGGCCCGCGUUGGAUUAGCUAGUUGGUAGGGUAAAAGCCUACCAAGGCGACGAUCCAUAGCUGGUCUGAGAGGAUGAUCAGCCACACUGAGAGUGAGACACGGCCCAGACUCCUACGGGAGGCAGCAGUGGGGAAUAUUGGACAAUGGGCGAAAGCCUGAUCCAGCAAUGCCGCGUGAGUGAUGAAGGCCUUAGGGUUGUAAAGCUCUUUUACCCGGGAUGAUAAUGACAGUACCGGGAGAAUAAGCUCCGGCUAACUCCGUG
rnacentral:rRNA from 1 species